CGGACGGGUGAGUAACGCGUGGAUAACCUGCCUCACACUGGGGGAUAACAGUUAGAAAUGGCUGCUAAUACCGCAUAAGCGCACAGUACCGCAUGGUACGGUGUGAAAAACCCAGGUGGUGUGAGGUGGAUCCGCGUCUGAUUAGCCAGUUGGCGGGGUAACGGCCCACCAAAGCGACGAUCAGUAGCCGACCUGAGAGGGUGACCGGCCACAUUGGGACUGAGACACGGCCCAA
rnacentral:rRNA from 1 species